GGGGAAUAUUGGACAAUGGGCGAAAGCCUGAUCCAGCCAUGCCGCGUGUGUGAAGAAGGUCUUCGGAUUGUAAAGCACUUUAAGUUGGGAGGAAGGGCAGUAAGUUAAUACCUUGCUGUUUUGACGUUACCAACAGAAUAAGCACCGGCUAACUUCGUGCCAGCAGCCACGGUAAUACGAAGGGUGCAAGCGUUAAUCGGAAUUACUGGGCGUAAAGCGCGCGUAGGUGGUUCAGCAAGUUGGAUGUGAAAGCCCCGGGCUCAACCUGGGAAUUGCAUCCAAAACUACUGAGCUAGAAUACGGUAGAGGGUGGUGGAAUUUCCUGUGUAGCGGUGAAAUGCGUAGAUAUAGGAAGGAACACCAGUGGCGAAGGCGACCACCUGGACUGAUACUGACACUGGGGUGCGAAAGCGUGGGGAGCAAAC
rnacentral:rRNA from 1 species